GCCUCACCGUAAACUUUUAAUUACUCCACAAUCGCCUGGGAACUACGAGCAAAGCUUAAAACCCAAAGGACUUGACGGUACCCCAUAUCCACCUAGAGGAGCCUGUCCUAUAAUCGAUAACCCCCGCUUUACCUCACCAUUUUUAGCAUAUCAGCCUGUAUACCUCCGUCGUCAGCUUACCUCGUGAGCGAAAUUAGUGAGCUUAAUGCCCAUACGCCAAUACGUCAGGUCAAGGUGCAGCAUAUAAAAUGGAAAGAGAUGGGCUACACUAUCUAACCUAGAUAACACGAAAGAUUACAUAUGAAAACUAGUCAGAAGGCGGAUUUAGAAGUAAGGAGAAACCAAAAUGUUCCCCUUAACCCGGCACUGGGGUGUGUACACACCGCCCGUCACCCUCUUCAACGCCCCAACACAGUUAAUAACUAAACCAAGCAUAAUAGAAGAGGCAAGUCGUAACAUGGUAAGUAUACCGGAAGGUGUGCUUGGCAA
rnacentral:rRNA from 1 species